UACAGAGGGUGCGAGCGUUAAUCGGAAUUACUGGGCGUAAAGCGCACGUAGUCGGCUUUGCAAGUCGGUUGUGAAAUCCCCGGGCUCGACCUGGGAACUGCAUCCGAGACUGCAUUGCUAGAGUAUGGGAGAGGAAAGCGGAAUUUCUGGUGUAGCAGUGAAAUGCGUAGAUAUCAGAAGGAACAUCAGUGGCGAAGGCGGCUUUCUGGACCAAUACUGACGAUCAGGUGCGAAAGCGUGGGGAGCAAACAGG
rnacentral:rRNA from 1 species